UUGAGAGAGCAGAUUGGACGCAAGUUUGGAGACUUCAAUUCAAGUUUUAUUUCUUUCAUCAUUCUUUGUAAUUUAUUCUUUUUAUUUAUUUGUUUAAUUAUUAUGUUUUCUAGCUAACUUCGUUUAUUCCGGCAUUGAUUAGGGAAGCACUAGCGAAAUUAUUCUGUGAGAUCUAAUUGUUCUUAUACUUUAUUUUAUGCUUGCAUCUGCGAUUCUCCAUGUUUAAUGAUAUUAAUUGUUUUAAUCCAUUAGAUAGUUGCAAAUAUUUAUUGGGUUAGAAUUAAUUAUAUAGCCAAUUGAACCGGCCAUCCGUAAUUGUGGUUUAGGUUUGAUUAGUGGUAAAUUGACACAUCAGGGUCAAGGGAAAAUCAGUCUUAAUUCAAUAAUCCUGCGUCAGAGUUUAUUGGUUUUGAAUCGGGUUUCUCUAGAUAUUAAUGCUGUCGGCUCAUUAAAUCUAUAGAGCGUCUCUUACGGUUGUCAGUCGAUUAGGGUAGUAAUUAGUGAAGCGUCUUCCUGGUUACCGAAUAAUUAAGGAGAAAUAAGAUCACGUCAGAAGCGUCUUCGGUGGUUAUAACUGGUUUGUUUGCAUGAUUUAAAGUUAUUUUUGCAUCGAUGAUCGGAAUAAUUAAGAUAGGGUGGACUUAAUUGAUUGCUGGAAUUCUUUUAUUAAUUGUUGGAAUUUUUAUUCAUCUUUUAGCUAUUGGAAAAAUUGGUUUAUUUGGGUUUUAUUUAUUUUAUUUCCAUAUUUUCUUCUCAAAAUUUCGUGGGUUACUUGCAGGCUUUAAUUAGAUAAAUUCUCGCCAAUCCCUUGGGAGACGAUUUUGCUUACUGCUGUCUGCACAGUGUGGGCAUACCGGCUGACUGCCGGAUAUUUUUGGUGUAAAACGACGCACCACAGAUCCACCGCCGCCGCCUCAUCAGAUCAGAUCCACCGCCGCCUUAUCAGUUCAGAUCUGCCUUCGCCGCCGCCUCAUCCUCCGCCACCUGACCGACCUCCUCCACGCCGCCAAUUUCAAAGAACUGGAUCUCCUCCACCGCCGCCGCCUCAUCCUCUACUCCGACGAAGUCUGCCCAAGCCGCGAGAGCUCCGACGAAUUCUUCAAGCUCAACGCCGCUGGAGAGAGAGAGAGAGAGAGGGAGAUGAGAAAGAGAGAGAAUAGAGUGGCAGCCGAGAUGAGAAAGAGAGAGGAGAGAGAGAGAAGGGUAGAAUAGUCAUGACAUACAAAAAAUGGC
rnacentral:lncRNA from 1 species